AUCGGAAAGACGACUUGGAUAUGGCUCUGACAGAGCUGGGACCAGAUUUAAGCCUCCCAAGGAUACAAACGUACGACUUCAUAAUCGAAAUUUAAAAUGGGUCCCCGAAUUUUAAUCGUCGCCUCACUCCUCGUCAUGCUCAGUUUUGCAUGGAUGGCUAAUGCCCACCCGGUCGCAUUGGCGGGUAGUGACGCCGCUGUGGCACCGCUAAAAGUGAUCGAGGAGCUGGGCAACCAGGAGCUGCGCCCCCGCUUCCGCCGGUGGCAUUUGGGUCAACCCCGUUAUGGGGGCGACAGGGGUUGCACCAGGCUUCAGUGCGGCUAAUAAUCAUUAACGAGGUUCUACUAUUGUAGGAUCAAUAUUUGUAUUUGAAUUAUUAAAA